rnacentral:lncRNA from 1 species
CUGCCAUGUACAGUAUAAUCCAUACAUGGAUCCAGGAGGCAGAGGCAGGAGGAUAGUGAGUUUGACUCACUCAGUGGUCCUAUAGAAAAAGAGGCUACACACACCUGCCCCAUCCCCAUGUCCACAGCUCAUGUCCUGUGAGGACAACAUUGAUAGCUGUAUUUGCAUACAAACUAGGAUCAAUAGUGAUGACGUAGACAGAAACUGUGGGUCCUACGGUCACAAGUACCUUCCCAGACAUGCUUACACUUGUCCUCAGAAGCCACGAGACAAACAGACACGGCUGAGCCAUACAUUUAAGGAAUCUUUUAAAGCCAAGGACUCCGAGCCUCCCAGCCAGGCUCUGGCCCUCCUGAUGUUGCUGACCUCCUGAGCAGGUAGAGAUAAAGAGUGCUGGGUAAUACAUCAGCCUGAUGGUUUCUUCAGACAGGCUGUCUUCAGGGCUCUAGAAGCCCAUACAGAAUAGAGCAGUUAGGAAGCAAGAUGAAGGCCGCAUGCACAAAGCCCUGGGUUUGAUCCCCAGACCCCCAUGAAUCAGACAUGGUGGUAAACACCUGCAAUCCUAGCAAUCAGGAGGUGAAAACAGGAGGAUUAAAGUGUCCAAGGUCAUCCUUGGCUACAUAAUACAUUCAAGACCAGACACAGCAACACAAGACCCUGCCUCCAGAAAAAAAGCAAUCUAACCCUGGCCAGGCCCCAUCAAGAUGCAAGGGUUGUGAGAGAAAGAUGGGUGGUGGCCACGGACAGAGUCUACGGACCAGGAAAUCGUGAGAAACACCGUGGACUUCAUGGGGUCUCCCGGUGGAGAAUUCUGAAGAUUGGUGCACCUUUCACUCCCAGACCACAGCCUCCCCAGUUCAUCCCAGCCAAGGAUGGAAGGGUCCCUCCCUACAUCGACAACAAGGUAAGACUUCUGCUGAGAGGCCGCUGCAUGCAGCGAUCAGAAAUCACAGAGACUCCUGCUGGCAAAGCAAAGAAACAGUGGCUAAGUUUUUCUAGAAGGAGGCAAGAAACAGCACACUAGAGUCAAAGGCCCUUUCACAGGUCUCUCUGGCAUCUCUACUGAGGAUGGGCCACUGGAAGGUCACCUGGCUGACCUCUCUCUGGAAGUUCCCGACAGCAGGAAAACACUGCAGCCUAGAAUCGUCACCGGGGCGAUUUGGGUCAUCCACCCCAAUGAUGUUUGUCAGGGGUAAAUAUUUAGUUGUUCUCUCUGCAGCCUGGAGGGAGGAGACUUUCAAUUGAAUGAAUGGUGAAUUGAAAGGUCCUUAACAUCUCUUCUUGGUCCCCUCUAGCUGUCCUGGAACUAGGAAGAGGGGUGGUUAGACAUGAUGUACCCAAGCCACUAAACUGUGCAUCUUUAAAUGGUUCAUUCGUGUUGUGUGAAUUUCACUCCUUUAUUAAAUAAUUCAUUUUUUAAUUUUAGGCUUACUGAUGUUUUGCCUGCAUGUACAUCUCUGUGAGGGUGUUAGAUCCUGGAGUUGCAGACAGUUGUGACCGGCCAUAUGGGUGCUGGGAAUUGAACCCAGGUCCUCUAGAAGAGCAGUCAAUGCUCUUAACCACUGUCCAUCUCUCCAGCUCAGAAUUUCAUCCCUAAAAACAAAAAAAUGGGGGAGGGCAGUGGUGGAACACACCUUCGAUCCCAGCACUCAGGAAGCAGAGGCAAGCAGAUCUCUGUGAGUUUUGAGGACAGCCUGGUCUACAGGGAGAGUUCCAGGACAGCCAGGGCUACAAAGUGAAAUCCUGUCUUGGGGGGUGGGGGGGGGCAAUAACAAGAAAACAAAGAUCCGGCCUUGUAGUCCAGUCCCUUUCUAGAAAACGUUGGGAAAAGUUGGGGCAGCGUAACAACAGGGAUCCAAAGCCUACUUUGGGGUACAGGAAGGUCUCCAAUGUCUGCCCAUCUCCACUGAGGACGCCCCUCAGUGUUCCUCCACAUGGCCUGGGACACCAUGAGAUUGUGGUGUCCAGCUGGCAGACUCUGACCUACCAGGGUUAUGCCACAGCUUUCCCACAGAGUGUGGUGGCUCCUUUGUUCCGUGCCUGUGGAAGUCAGAGAACAGCUGGCAGGCAUCAGCUCCCUUUCCACCAUGUGGAGUCAGCCUGACCACAAAUGCUGCUCCUCAUUUAAGCCACCAGGCCUGCUUGCAUGCAUUCUAGAACAAAGAAAUGAAAACGCUGAUCUAAGAGGAAAACACCUCACCUGGGGCUCAGGAAUGAGGUGUCAAUUUUGCUACAAGAGUGGACUCAGAAGACGCACAAGAGAUGUGCAAACAUUCAGCCGUUAGAGCCUUCUGAGGACAAGCUCUCUCCACCGCUGGAAUUCCAGACCCAUGGAAUGGGUACUCUCAAAACCCCUGUUUUGUGUGAUUCUGUUAGUGUUGAGGAGUAAAGCCCAGGCUUCCUAAAUACCAGAGACACACAGGACAGCUGACCCAUACCUCCAGUUCUCGAUGACUUCUUCUUUUAGACACAGGACUGUUCUACAGCCCGGCUGGUCUGGAACCCACAAUCCUGCCUCAGGCUCCUGAGUGUAGAAGUGACAGGGGUGUGCGCCACAGCUGCCCUUGUUAAUUUCCCCAUGGUUUCUUCAUCAGGGUGGAUGGCAGAGUAGAUGGCAGCACCUUGGCGUGUGAGAUGGUGAUGUUUGGAAGCUCAGCAUCACAUGGUACCCCAGCCCAUGAACAACCUGGCCCUCCAAAGCUCAAUGUCACCUCUGUAUGGUUCUGACAGCUAAUAUGGCCACUUGGGCUCAGAUGACAACUUUCAGGACAAGUGGGCAGACACAGGGUUUCAUUUUGAGGUCACCACACGUCUUGUCUUAAAGCCCUUGACCCUGGCCUUUCCACGAGCAGAUAAAGCAGUGAAGAUGAAGCCUGUCCAGUCUGCAGGGAGCAGGACUCCAAGGCCUGAGCAGUCUCCCCUAGAUCCUUAGCUCUCAGAAGCCUGUCCGUGCCCCGUUCGGCUUAACAGAACCAUGCAGUACUGAGAGGAGAGAUAAAUUCCAAGGUCAUUGCCAUUUGUAAAGCCCUGUCCCUUGUUACAGAGCCCACGGCUUCUCUCUCACCUGCGUAGGACAGCCGGUCACCAUGUUUGCUCUUUUUGAUGGAGGCUUGGGAAGGUAUGUCUAUGUCUUUAUGUCGUUUCCCCACCUUUUUAGAGAUAAGAUUUUAAUUUACAGGCCAGGCUAGCCUCACAUUCAUAGCAAUCCUCCUGCCUCAGUUUCCCAAGCCUGUUGACUUUGGAUUUCUGUCUCUGCCUCCCAUCUCACUGUAGGAGAGCCAGGGUUCUAGAGGAGUGCUAGAACACCCUCUGGCUAAAGAUAGGGUGCAGGGAUUGAACUUGUUUGUCAGGGUUAGCAGACUUACUUUCACCUGCUGAGCAAGUUGUGAACCACCACACCCAGCUAGGACAAUGUCUUGUUUGGCACGCACAGGACACUGUAGGACUCUUCCCGCCUGACUUCAGGCUUCUCGAGGCUUCGAUAUAACCACAAGAGUGAAAAAGAACAAAACGAAAAGUUCAAGUCGGCGCUAAUUAGCCCAGCCCCACCUUGCUCUCUCUGUCUGUUUGCCUGUUCCAACAAAGGGAGGUCGAUUUUUUACCUGAGAUUUCCCAGUUCCCGAUUAUUCUGAGCCUUGGUUUGCACGUGGCUUCUCCUGCAGACUCUGUAUAAAGCACCCAGUGCUUGGAAUACCUCUAGCUGCACAAAGCCAGGAUAUCCAAAGACAGGGACUUACAGGAGAGCUCUGUGGUACAGCCUCUCGGGGUCUCUUAAGAGGCUGGAUCAUGAGACAGCAGACUGUCUCAGUAGACAGACCAGUGGCCCCUCCUGACCCCCACCUUACAACCAGCUUGGGCCGCCCCUCCUGGACCUCUGUCUUAACUUAGCCAGUAAACUGUUUCUGAUGAAAGGCUUGACUCCACGAUAUGAAAUCAGAGUCCACUUUCUGAAAUGUUAUGUCGUAGAUCACAAUCAGUUGUCACUGUGCUCUGUAGCAAACACACUCCCCAAGAAGUCACCGCAGUGCCAGGGAGAGCUAAUUGCAUAGUUACCACAAAAACCGAUCCGAUGCCUUUGCUCUGCAGUGAGAAAAUGGAUCGCUUUGGGGUGUGUUUAGCUGUUGGAGGAUGAUAAUUGCUUGAGAACCAAGUGCACCCCUUCCCCGAGCUCCCCCGUAACUAGGCACUGUUCCCAGCUUGCCUGGGACCUGCCGCUCAGAACAAAAAUAUCUGUUCUGAUCCACGCCGGAAAGAAUGUCUAAAACUCAAUAAAUCGAAUGCACUGUCAGCUCCUCUCCUGGCAAGGGCAGAAUUUGCACAGCUCAGGCUGAGGGACACAUGGCUCAGCCUGGAGGUCUGGCCACCAAGACUGGGCGGUUACUGACUGGGGCUGGAAGCUUAGAAAUCCGGAGAUGUUUCCCAGUUGAAUACAGAGGAAAUGAGGCACCUAGGGAUUAUUGCUGUGUUCACAGGUGGAGACCGAACCAGGCUGUUCACACAUACAAACACAUUCCCCAUUUGUCUGGAAGAGAACCCGACUCUGCUGGGGAAACAUGCCAACCAGGUGUCCAUUCCACCCAAGCAGAGAGAAACUUGCAUUUUGCACGAAAGAAAAUGGGCUUGGUCCAAAGAAGACUUGAAGCUGCCACUUCCUCUGUGCCUGUCCAGCACUUACAGGUCGAGACGGGGUGCGGGGCUCAGAGCCCGGCUUCUGUUCUGAAAGCGCCAACACCCAGCUCACAGGCCAAUGGCCCUCCUUCCAGCUCAAAUGGCGGUACAUCAGCAUGCCUUUAAUCCCAGUACUCAGGAGGCAGAGGCAAAUGGAUCUCUGUGAGUUCAAGGCCAAUGUUGGCUACAGAGCAAGUUCCUGGACAGCCAGGGCUACACAAAGAAACCCUGUCUUAAUAAAACAAACAAGCAAACCAAAAAAAAAAAAAGUAGAGAGCAAUAGAGGAAGAUAAAGACACCCAGUGCUGACUUCUAGCUCCAUCCCAUAUGCACAACACCACACACACACACACACACACACACAGAGCCACAAAACAAAGGAGACUGCAGUUACUCCACAGUGGCAGUUGGAAAGUUCCAGUGUUUGGGUCAAAACAUUUUUAUGAAUACAUGCUUUUCAAAGCUGUAUCCAUCCAGUUGGGUGUGGCCAUCUCUGUACUCCCGGAGGAUGUGAGAAGCAAGCUUCAAAAGGAAUCUUUGCUUUUUCACUCUUUGGUGUGAUUUGGUGGCAGGUGGGACGUGUCCAUUUGGUUUUUUGUCUUGUUUUGGUUUGGUCUGGUCUGAUGUGGCUUGGUUUUAGGCACAAUCUCACCACUUAGCUCUGGUAAGCUCGGAGUUCACUAUGUAGACCAGGCUGGCCUCAAACUCACAGAGUUCUGCCUGCCUCUGCCUCCAGAGUACUGAGAUUAAAGGUGUGCGCCACCACACACAGCCUUGCCUUAUCUUUACUUUUUAACUUUAACAUUCAACUCAAUCUGUUUCUUAGGUCUGUUUA